AUUUAUUUAGAAUUAAACAUUAAUGAGGCCCUGGAGAACCUUGCUGAUCGUUAACUCACUGAUUAUUCAUUCUUUGGUUACCUUGCUGAUUAUUCAUUCUUUGAGUAAUCUGCUGGUUAUUCACUCUUUGACCACCACUGGUCCACGGUCAUCCACCAUGCUGACUGCCAGCUUAGAAAGACUUCUUUGAGGCUUAAUUUACCAAGGCAACCUGGCUGGGGAGCUGAGCAAACCUUAGA
rnacentral:lncRNA from 1 species